UUCCGGUUGAUCCUGCCGGAGGUUACUGCUAUCGGUGUUCGCCUAAGCCAUGCGAGUCAUAUGUAGCAAUACAUGGCGUACUGCUCAGUAACACGUGGAUAACCUGCCCUUGGGACCGGCAUAACCCCGGGAAACUGGGGAUAAUUCCGGAUAACGCAUAUGUGCUGGAAUGCUUUAUGCGUAAAAUGGAUUCGUCUGCCCAAGGAUGGGUCUGCGGCCUAUCAGGUAGUAGUGGGUGUAAUGUACCUACUAGCCAGCGACGGGUACGGGUUGUGAGAGCAAGGGCCCGGAGAUGGAUUCUGAGACAUGAAUCCAGGCCCUACGGGGCGCAGCAGGCGCGAAAACUUUACAAUGCGGGAAACCGUGAUAAGGGGACACCGAGUGCCAGCAUCAUAUGCUGGCUGCCCAGGUGUGUAAAAUACACCUGUUAGCAAGGGCCGGGCAAGACCGGUGCCAGCCGCCGCGGUAACACCGGCGGCCCGAGUGGUGAUCGUGAUUAUUGGGUCUAAAGGGUCCGUAGCCGGUUUGGUCAGUCCUCCGGGAAAUCUGAUAGCUUAACUAUUAGGCUUUCGGGGGAUACUGCCAGACUUGGAACCGGGAGAGGUAAGAGGUAC
rnacentral:rRNA from 1 species